rnacentral:rRNA from 1 species
UAUCUCUGUAGAGUCUGCAUAUCAAUAAGCGGAGGAAAAGAAACUAACUAGGAUUCCCUCAGUAACGGCGAGUGAAGCGGGAAGAGCUCAAAUUUGAAAUCUUCAAGGUUUCUACCUUGACGAAUUGUAGUUUAAAGAAGUGUUUUCUGUUGGAGUUUUGGUAAAAGUUCUUUGGAAUAGGACAUCAUAGAGGGUGAGAAUCCCGUAUUUGACCAUUAUUUCCAGCUUUGUGAUACACUUUCAAAGAGUCGGAUUGUUUGGGAAUGCAGUCCAAAAUGGGCGGUAAAUUUCAUCUAAAGCUAAAUACUGGCGAGAGACCGAUAGCGAACAAGUACCGUGAGGGAGAAGAUGAAAAGAACUUUGAAAAGAGAGUUAAACAGUACGUGAAAUUGUCAAAAGGGAAGCGUUUGACACCAGUGUUGUUUUCUCGAAAAUCAAUUAAAAAAGGCAGGAUUUUGUGUUGUAUUGACUUUAUCAGCUUUCUGCACUCUUUUCUUGUCUUUUUUAAUGCACUUUUCGUUUAACAAGUCAACAUCAAUUUCUUUUGUUGUAAAAGGGUCAUUGGAAGGUGGCUUUCUUUUCGGAGAAAGUGUUUCAUAGCCUUUGGCCUCUGCAAUCGGAGAGAUUGAGGUCUGCAGCGUAGAUCCUUCGGGGUUAGAUACAUUUGUGCUAAGUUAUAGCCUUUCAUAGACAACUUGUUGACUAUGAUCAGUCAUGUAGCUUACUCGCUUAUGCUAUUUUACCUACGCUUAGGAUGUUGACGAUCAGCUGAGCGCG